rnacentral:rRNA from 1 species
UACAGAGGCCUCAAGCGUUAGGCGGAAUCACUGGGCUUAAAGCGCGCGCAGGCGGGCUGGUCAGUCCGGGGUGAAAUCUCACGGCUCAACCGUGAGCGGUCCCCGGAUACUGCCAGUCUUGAGGUGUCUAGAGGAGAGCGGAAUUCCCGGUGUAGUGGUGGAAUGCGUAGAUAUCGGGAAGAACACCAGUGGCGAAAGCGGCUCUCUGGGGACCACCUGACGCUGAGGCGCGAGAGCGUGGGGAGCGAACCGG